GAGGAGGACGACGUCCCUCCCGGGGAGAAGAGGCUGCGGCUGUUGCUGGAGGGGGGAAGAGCACAGCCCUAGGACUGCGAGGACGGGGAGGACGCGCCGCGGCCGGGCAGGGAGGAGACCGGCACCCAGACAGGUGGCGACGGCAGAGGAGAUUACUGUCCACAAACAAACAAACAGCACCAAAACUCCCAACAAUAAGAACAACAGAAAUCCCACCUAAGGCACCAAAGGCUUGGUGAGCAUGGAUGCAUGGCAAAACUGCCUCCUGAAGGCCAGAAGAAAGGAUUUCUCUCCUGUUUUCACCCACUCCCUGUGCCUCCUGACUGACCCCGGUGCUUCCCCCAUGGCUCUGCAGAUCUUGGUGUGCCCACUCCUCUUGGGAACUUGUGUGCUUAGGUCUCCGGCAUGGUUCUAGGCCUGGGCACGCAGUACGGCAGAGGGAGAUGCAAGAGAAAGAUGGAUGGGAUCAGACCUCAUGGGAACCUUGCUGGCUGUGCAGAAUAAGAAGUUUGGAUUUUAUUCUCAAGGCAAUGGGAAACUAGAAGAUUUAAAGGAGGGGAGAGAUCCAAUCUGAUUUCUUUUUUUUUUUUUUUCUGAGAUGGGGUCUUGCUCUAUUGCCCAGGUUGCAGCCUCAACCUCCUGGGCUCAAGUGAUUCUCCCACCUCAGCCUCCCAAGUACCUGGGACCACAGGUGUGCACCACCAAGCCCGGCUAAUUAGUUUUUAUUUUUGUAGAGACAAAAAUAAACUGUGUUGCUCAGGCCAGUCUCAAACUCCUGAGCUUAAGUGAUCCUUCUGCCUCGACUUCCCAAAGUGUUGGGAUUACAGAACAGAGGGAAUUUCCUGGAAGGCAGGGUCUGUGUUCAUCUCCCACAGAGCAUAGAGCACAGUGGAUGCUGAGGAAAUGGUGAAUGCUGGAAAGGAGCAACAGGAUGCCAAGGCCAGAAGUUCACCUUUGUGACCAAACUGGCUGAAACUGGUGAGAUGCAAGACGGCAGCUCACUUGACCUCCAAAGAACCUCUAACUUCAUUAUAAUAUAAUUUCCUUGCUAAAUGACACUCCCAUCAGUGUCAUGACAGUUGACAUUGCCAUGACAAUGGCCAGAAGAAACCAUAAAGGGACAAAAAGGAAGGUAGUAACUCUGGUUCCAAGGAGUUCUCCCAUUUCCAGAAAAGACAUGGAUAUUCCUCCCCUUGCUUUUAAUGCCCAACUUUUUCAUUAAAGAUGAAGCCUGUAUCUAUGGUUUCCCAGCUCUCAGGAGCUGAGAAGUUGAUUUGUGAGCCAAACUCCCACUUCUCAAUAAAGGCCGUCGAAUAAAGCAUGCACUGUUUCAUGCUUACUUUUGGGUUCGUGUAUUGGCUUCACAGCACAGAACAGGAAAAGGCUCCAUCUUCUGGGGGACAGGCUUUGUUGGUAACAAAAGGACUGGCCCAGAGUCAGAGUUAGGAAGUGAUAAAGCCAGGUGUCUGCC
rnacentral:lncRNA from 10 species